ensembl:lncRNA
GCCUGCUUGGAGGCCCCGGGUCUGGGCGGCGGCGCGCGUCUGCAGGGCGCCCGCCGGCCUCCACGUGCGCGCGCGCGCCGGGGCUCCCCGAGCACACGCACGCCGGCUUCCCGCCCGCUCGAGGGGAGCGCGGCCUCGGACCUGGGGCUGCGGGGUUGGCGGGGGAUUCCCGGGCGAUUGCGUCUGCUUUGAAAAAGGGUGAGCGAGAGGGAGGGAGGGAGGCAGAGGCCCGAGGGCGGGGUUCCGGGCGGUCCGGCCGGUUGCCCGAGGCUGCGCAGCAGGCUGCGGGGUCCGUGCCCGGAGGCGGGGGCUUUCCCUCCGUAACGGCCAAAACCCGGAGCCCGCCCCCCGGAGCGGGCAGAGCCGGCGCGCAGCCUUCCUUCGGACGAGGCCCCCGUGCGGCGCCCGGUGAGCCCGCGGACCCGAGGGCGGCCCUGGACUGGACGCUUCACCGGACCGGACGCGGGCUGCGACCCUCCCGGGUCCCCGCGAAGCCCGGGGCGCCGGCGGGCAGGGUUCGCCCCUGCGCCUCCUCGCACACCCACGGGCUCCAUUAGGGCAGGAACGUUCACGUGGUGUAUCUUCCCAGUUGGAGUUGGAAUGGCAGAUAUUGUGCAGGGAUUUCAGACAUGAUGGUGGAUUAAGAUACUAGACAAAGCCAGAGAAGAAAAUAUCAGAAUUCAGCUGCAAAACUGUCCCGAUGCAUGGCUGUAUAUCCUAGGUCUUCCGUGUGAGCUGCUGACAGAUGGGUUGUGUGGUUCCACGACCGGGAAACGACACCAAGCUGCCGAAGUGCCCCGCGGUACAUAGUUGUGCAUUUUAGGUUGUGGCUCCCUCCAGCUGUGGCAUGCAGGAUGCCACCCCAGCAUGGCCUGAUGAGCAGUGCCAUCUCCGCACCCGGGACCCAAACUGGCGAAACCUUGGACCACUUAAGAAAAGCACAUGAACCCAGCCACUUGGCCACGGGGCCAGCCCGCCACAUAGUAUUUUUAUGCUUAUCAUGGAUCCUUCUCCCCGCUCCAAGGGUGAAGUGAGUCAGGAUGGUUUGUUCAUGCUGUUCAACAAUUACCAAAGCCUGUCUGCAUUGCUGGUAAAAGUGACUCACAUGCGGUGGCUGGUUCAUGGAACAAGAGCACAGAAAAGUGGUUUUGAUGAAGGUAUGGAGAGAAGCCCAAAGCACCCCUGGAACAGAUGGCAGCUCUGUGAGCAGCUGAGAAGGGCUUUCUUCUUCUCCUAGUGACUCUGCUUCAUAUUUUCCAUCUCUUCUCUUUCCAGGAGCAUUUCCUUCUAAUUCCACACAUUAUGUUAUCAGUAGAGGACGUUUUAGAUACUGGUUAAGAGUUGGACCUGGUGAUUUUUGUGGUUUUUUUUGGCCAUCUUAGUUUAUGUGUUUCAGGCUAAUUUGACCAUACAAGCCAAGGAUCAUCAUUCUGCAGCAAGCCUCAGCAUGCCUCUCCCAUGCUCACUGGCAGCCAUACUCUACAUAUACUGCCCUUGUAUCCACCUUCUGAGAUAGCCUGCAGUUGAAGUCGCCUAACCAAGCAGGAUCCACUCAGUGCCACAGAAGGAGUUAGGCAAUUAUGGAAUCCUCCUUCCUCAUUUGCACUCACGGUACUUGGGGAGAAGACAACAGAGUCUGUUUUUUGGUUUUUUUUUUAAAGAUUUUAUUUUUUCCUUUUUCUCCCCAAAGUCCCCCGGUACAUAGUUGUAUAUUCUUUGUUGUUGGUCCUUCUAGUUGUGGCAUGUGGGACGCUGCCUCAGCGUGGUUUGACGAGCAGUGUCAUGUCCGCGCCCAGGAUACAAACCAACGAAACAAUGGGCCGCCUGCAGCGGAGCGCGCGAACUUAACCGCUCGGCCACGGGGCCAGCCCCACAACAGAGUCUGUUUUGAGAUGGUUGUGUAUGUAGUUGAAUUAAUCUUCUCCCCAGUAGUUUUUUAAUAAUUAUUGCAAAUUUCAAUUCUUCAUAUGCACCUCUGUCACUUUUGAAAUUUAUAUUUUGGAUGAGAAUUUCUAUAUCUAUUCAUAUAGUUGCUAAUUUCAUUUUAAAGUAAACAGGUAUUGUGUAUUGAUAUUUCUGUUCUUAACUUAAUCAUUUGCUUUUUUAACUGAUAAAUUCAGUUUUAUUAAGACCCCUUAGAGAUAAUAAAAAGGAUUUGCUCUUCUAUCCACUCCUCUGGACAUUCUGGGUUCUAUUCUUGGAUCAAGUUAAGUUGAUCCAAGAAAGCUACAUAUGUGGAUGUAAGAGCCUCUACUAAAAACAGUAGAUAAAUGCAGGGCUAUAAAUACAUCAUUGAAUUGAGAAUUGUUAGGUCCGUAAGUCAAUAUGGCCACAAGUUACAAUUUGUGAUCUUAGUUUAAGCCCCUCCCAGGACGGACUUCAUUGAUUAUACAACAAACUCUGAAGUGGGAGAUGUAUGGUUAUUGUCAGGACGUUUGUCAUCCUGUUUUGGCUGCCCAGCUGCAGAACCAUCUUUUAUGUAUGUUUGCAGAAUUCCUAAUCUUAAAACUAUUUGGUUUGUAUGGUAGGGGUACACUACAGGAGCUAAAAUGCCAGAUAGUUACUUUCCCUUCCUCUUUUGCGGCUAAGACACAGACCCUGUGACCUAGGCUCUACCAGUCAGAAGCUGCCAGACAGGAUUUGACUUUCCAGCUACACUUGCUCUGCACGUAGAAGUGGCAGUAUCUGCAGCACUGGAGGGAGCAGUUUUAUCUCUACGCCAAUUUAGAACAUGCUUCCAUGCCUUUUCCCUGGUGGUUUAGCCUUGAGCCUGUAUCUCUCUCCCUUACAGUGAAUUCUGUGAGCUGGCCCAAUAUCUGUUUAGUGCCUUACUCUUUUGCUUAAUUUAGCUGGAGAUGGCAUCUGUUUCUUGCAUGUAAGAAUUCAGACAGUUAUUUCUUAUACACUUAGGGAUUUAUUAUGGACUUAGCGUGUUCUCUCAUUUCUAGAAAUAAGCACCAUAAUACUUGUCAUACUUUCCUUUUUAUUAUUCCUGGCAGCUAGAAAUCUCAGAAUCUAAUUUGGAACUUGAUCAUAGUACAGAGAGUAACUCUUACCACUAGUACAAUUAGCUUAUUUACUUUUGCUUUUUCCCCUCAUUUUUAAAUUAAUUUUAUUUGUAUUGUGAUGUCAUUGGUUGUAAGUAGCCAAUCAGAAAACUCCACAGGUCUUUUCAAGCCCACAUGGGUUCCCUAAAUUCUCAUUCCUUCCUUGUGGCAGGCCUCUGGGUCUUGAUCCUUUGUCCUUGUCCUCGUGGCUGUGAAUACCUGUUUUUUUUUUCAUCCACACACCUGGCAAAGGGGUGACAUAGCAUCCUCAGCCGCUCACUCUCUUCUCUUUGAUUCCUAAUAAAAGCUCAUUGAAGGAUUUUAUAAUGAAUAACAAUAGGAAAAAUUAUAGCAAAUUAUAAACAGUCAAGAUUCUAAAAUCUGCCAAUUUUGUGUGCUUGAUGUAUGAGUCUGAAAUAGUCAAUCAAAGAGCUCUUAGGCCUCUGUCUCCUUUUUAAUUUUCAUGUUUCACUAAACUCCGUUCUACUAUAUUGAACUUAAAAUUGUUUUUGUUAUGAAAUAGUACAAAAUUUUGUCAAAAGCUCAACUCUGUCCAAAAACAUUUUUAAUGGAAUUGCACUGGAUAGUUUACCUUGAGGAAAACUGAUGAUUUUCUAACAGUGAGUCUUUCCAUCCAUGAAGACCUCUCCAUUUAUUUAGGUUUUCUUUAGUGUCUUUCAAUAAACUUUUAUAUUUUCUCCAUAAAUCUAUUAUACACUUUUUCUUAGCUUUUUUCCUAGAGACCUUAUUUUUGUUGCUAUUAUAAACAUGAUCUUUUUAAAGUAUAUUUUAAAAUGUUUCUUGAUUGCAUAUAGGGAUACAAUAGAUUUUUCUUAUUGAGGUAACAGUAGUUUAUAACAUUAUAUCAAUUUCAGGUGUACAUCAUUAUAUUUUGACUUCUGUAUACAUUGCAUCGUGUUCACCACCAAAAGUCUAGUUUCCAUCCAUCACCAUACAAAUGUCCUCCUCUACCCCUUUUGCCCUCCUCCCACCCUCUUCUCCUCUGGUAAUCACCAGUCUGCUAUAUUAGAUUUUUUAAUAUUAAUCUUAUAUCCAGUAAACUUGCUAAAUUCACACAAUAGUUCUAGUAAUUUGUCUUUAAAUCUUGAACUUUCUAUUUUUACAUUACUUCUGUUAAUAAUAGUUUUGAGUCUUCUUUUUAAUCCUUACACCACUGAUUGAUUGAUUCUACUUGCAAUUUUUUGUUUUUCUUCUUUUCAAGCAUAAGCAUUUAAAGGCUAUAAAUUUCCCUCUAAGUACAAGAUUUAGCUGCAUCUCACAGUUUGGUAGGUAAUCAAGUUUUCCUGUUAUACUUUAUUCUUUUACAUAUGAAUUAUUUAGAAGUGUAUUUUUAAACUUAUAAAUGAUAAGAUUUGCUUUUUAUUUUUUAUUUUUAUUAAACUCCAUUUUUUUAUUGUGGUCAGAAGGUAAAGUCUUUGAUACAGUUACUUUAAAAUUUGUUGAGACAUGAUUUGUGCACUAAAAUGUCAUCAUUUCCUGUAAAUGUAACAUGUGCUUUUGAAAAAAAAUGUGUAAUUUCUAAUUGUCACAUUUGGAAAUGUUUAUUUAAUCAAGUUUGAUAAUUAUGUUGUUUAAAUCUUCUAUGUAUAAAUUAGUUUUUUGUCUAUUUGAUGCAUCAAUUACUGAGAGAGAAAAAUAAAAAUCUUUCAACCUGAUUAUGGUUUUAUAAAUUUCUCCAUAUAAGUCUGUGUUGACUCUGUAGAUCAACUUG